rnacentral:rRNA from 1 species
CCUACGGGGGGCUGCAGUAAGGAAUCUUCCACAAUGGGGGCAACCCUGAUGGAGCAACUCCGCGUGCAGGACGAAGGCCUUCGGGUCGUAAACUGCUUUUAUGAGUGAAGAAUAUGACGGUAACUCAUGAAUAAGGAUCGGCUAACUACGUGCCAGCAGCCGCGGUCAUACGUAGGAUCCAAGCGUUAUCCGGAGUGACUGGGCGUAAAGAGUUGCGUAGGUGGUUAGUAAAGCGAAUAGUGAAACCUGGUGGCUCAACCAUACAGACUAUUAUUCGAACUCACUAACUCGAGAGUAGCAGAGGUAACUGGAAUUUCUAGUGUAGGAGUGAAAUCCGUAGAUAUUAGAAGGAACACCAAUGGCGUAGGCAGGUUACUGGGCUAUUUCUGACACUGAGGCACGAAAGCGUGGGGAGCGAACCGGAUUAGAUACCCUUGUAG